GGCUGGACCUUGGCUUUUCAUCUGCAGAUCCCCAGAAUAUUUUUGGAGCCAUAACUUGCCACACAUAUUAAUAAAUAGAAACCUCUGCCAUCAGGAGAAGAAAAACAGUGAAAACAUAAGAGAAGGGAGUUAAGAAGCUUUGUAUGCAAGAUCUUUUGUUAACCCUGCUGGACAAAAGCUGCGGUCUGUAAGUGACCACUUGAAAAGUUCUUUCAUCAGACCGUAAUUGCACAAAGAGGAAGCACGUUUCCCAACAGUACCAAUGAACUGCAUCAUCACUGGACAGUGAAAAAAGUGACUUCAGUAGCUCUGAUAUUGAAUGGCACUUAAGGCAUGGAACAACAGUUUUAAACAUCUCAUCCCUCCCUACUGAUGUAAAAAGACUCGGUUGCUGUAACAAGCUAGAGCCAUGAAUGUGGAUCAUCACCUUCCUGCUGGAAAGGCCCAGGGAAUCCAAAGGAGUUGAAACCAUUUGUGUUGUUAAAAGCUCAGAGCUUCCAAACAUUAUGUAUAAUGCCGUAGAUGCAAAGUAACAAGAUAUUUGUAAGGAGUUUCAUAUUCAUAUAAUAACAUAUACUCAAUUAUUUGUAUUUAAAUCAUAGAAUCAUAGAAUCACUCAGGUUGGAAAAGACCUUAAAGAUCAUCAAGUCUAACUGCAACCUAAUCAUAUCACCCUAAAUCUAACAACAUUCCACCAAGUCCCUGAGCACCACGUCCAAACCAUUUUUAAACACAUCCAGGGAUGGUGACCCAACAACCUCCCUGGGGAGCCUAUUCCAGUGCUUAACAACCCUUUCUGUAAAGAAUUUUUUCCUGAUAUCCAACCUAAACUUACCCUGGUGUAACUUGAGGCCACUUCCCCUUAUCCUAUCACCAGUGAGAAGAGGCCAACCCCACUCUUGCUGUAAGCACCUUUCAGAUAUUGAAAGAGAGCAAUAAGGUCUCCCCUCAGCCUCCUUUUCCCCAGAUUGAACAGUCCCAGUUCCUUCAGUCGCUCCUCCUUUUUUCAUUCUGUCUUUCAAACCUUUUUCCUAGUGUGUAAAAGCAACGUGCAUGGAUGUGUAUACAUUUAAAGGAAAAUUGUGCCGUGUUUGCACCAUGUGUGAAGAUGAAUUAAUUACACUGCAGAGACUGCUUGAGAUGGGAGUGAUUAUGGCAGAGGAAUUGUGCAGCAUCUCUUCACUCAUGGGGAAAUUUGAAUCAGGUGGUCAUAAUGAAAAAUCUUCUGGAGCUUCUAUUGAAUUUGAAGAUUGAAGUGAGAAAUCUGUUUUUUCUGGAAAGAGCGGAGGAUAAUUCUUUUAAGAUUUGCUAAUGGGCUAAGACAAUGAAUAGAGAGGCCUCGUUCCUCUUAUAUUUGAUAAUGGAUCCCUCUGGUUCAAGGUAGUCAAGCUUCAGUGUUGCUGCUGCCUGCCACUAUCCUCUCUUCUCUUCCAAAGCAUGAGCUGGUGGAUUGGAUGUUGUGGAGCAAGGCAAAUGGAAGCCUUCAUAAAGAAACAGCAGGGGCUGGACACUUAUGAAUUGAGAAUUGAGAAUUAUAUCUAGUCUGACGAGUGCAUGACAGCCUUGAUUGACCUAUACUGGUGAUGGUCCUGUUUUGAGUGGGAGAUUGGAUGAAAUGACCUCUGGGAAUUCCUUAAAACCAGCACAGUUCCAAUCCAGGAGUCCUGACCUGGCAGAAGCAUGUGUUGCCUACUUUUACAGUAGGGUACAACUCUCCUAAAAUUAUGCUUGGAAAUUCUGCUGAGUUUGGUGCUCUCUUACUGUUUUCCUAUUGCUAAAACCAUCUCAGGACAGCUCAGUUCUAAUGCUCAGUCAGCUGGGAAGGCUUUCCCUAGGUCUGUCCUUCAGCUUCCAAAAAUGUCUGCAGAGGAAGUGGCAAUGGAGAAAAGCCUGAAUUUCAAAAUUGCUUCUUUAGAAAAAUAAAGGUUGCAGUGUCAUACCCGUGCCUGUAAGUGCUGUCAGGUGACUGUGAAAGGACAGACAUUUUUUGGUACUCCAGUUACAACUCUAAUUUCCUUUGCCAGAACAGUAGUGGUAACAUUUGAUUUGCAAAUCUGGCAUACAGGCACCAGCCCAGUUGAAAACAAUCAACAGAAGCCAUUUCCUCUGUGCAAGUAAAUAUAUUGACAUGUGUUGACAAUAAACAGAUUUUGUGUACUUUUGGAAAGGCAGACAGCAUCCCAUGUUUUAACUGCUUAGCUCCUCUAAAAGACUAUACAGGAAAAUAUCUUUCACAGGCUAUAGAAGGCUGUUCAACUUUCAUAUCUCUGGAGUAGUUAUGAUUUCCUCUAAUUACAAUAAUAUGAUUUUUAUAGAAUAUUCCUGCUAUAUUGAGCACGACAAUAAUAUGUAAAAAAAGUAUGCAUAAAGCAUAUGCUUUAAGAUAUGUGAUGGAGUUAGGAUUGUUAAGUAAUAUUUUUUUAACCUGUUACUUCCAGUUAAAAUACGUAAAUUGUUAGUAAUGGUUUGGAAACCGUUUGUCAACUUUGUUUUAAGGCAUUCAUUUCUUG